AACGAACGUUAGCGGCGCGCUUAACACAUGCAAGUCGAACGAGAAAGGGCUUCGGCCCCGGUACAGUGGCGCACGGGUGAGUAACACGUGGGUAAUCUACCCUCGAGCGGGGGAUAACGUUCCGAAAGGAGCGCUAAUACCGCAUAAGACCACGCUCUCGAAAAGGGAGCGAGGUAAAAAGUAGGCCUCUGAAUUCACGCUUACACUCGAGGAUGAGCCCGCGGCCCAUCAUGGUAGUUGGUAGGGUAAUGGCCUACCAAGCCGAAGACGGGUAGCUGGUCUUAGAGGAUGAUCAGCCACACUGGAACUGAGACACGGUCCAGACUCCUACGGGAGGCAGCAGUGGGGAAUCUUGCGCAAUGGGCGAAAGCCUGACGCAGCGACGCCGCGUGGGUGAUGAAGG
rnacentral:rRNA from 1 species